rnacentral:snRNA from 1 species
GUGCUCGCUUCGGCAGCACAUAUACUAAAACUGGAACGGUACAGAGAAGAUUAGCAUGGCCCCUGCGCAAGGAUGAUACGCAAAUUCGUGAAGCAUUCCAUAUU